GGCGGGCGUGUUUAAUACAUGCAAGUUGAGCGCUGAAGGUUGGUACUUGUACCGACUGGAUGAGCAGCGAACGGGUGAGUAACGCGUGGGGAAUCUGCCUUUGAGCGGGGGACAACAUUUGGAAACGAAUGCUAAUACCGCAUAAAAACUUUAAACACAAGUUUUAAGUUUGAAAGAUGCAAUUGCAUCACUCAAAGAUGAUCCCGCGUUGUAUUAGCUAGUUGGUGAGGUAAAGGCUCACCAAGGCGAUGAUACAUAGCCGACCUGAGAGGGUGAUCGGCCACAUUGGGACUGAGACACGGCCCAAACUCCUACGGGAGGCAGCAGUAGGGAAUCUUCGGCAAUGGACGAAAGUCUGACCGAGCAACGCCGCGUGAGUGAAGAAGGUUUUCGGAUCGUAAAACUCUGUUGGUAGAGAAGAACGUUGGUGAGAGUGGAAAGCUCAUCAAGUGACGGUAACUACCCAGAAAGGGACGGCUAACUACGUGCCAGCAGCCGCGGUAAUACGUAGGUCCCGAGCGUUGUCCGGAUUUAUUGGGCGUAAAGCGAGCGCAGGUGGUUUAUUAAGUCUGGUGUAAAAGGCAGUGGCUCAACCAUUGUAUGCAUUGGAAACUGGUAGACUUGAGUGCAGGAGAGGAGAGUGGAAUUCCAUGUGUAGCGGUGAAAUGCGUAGAUAUAUGGAGGAACACCGGUGGCGAAAGCGGCUCUCUGGCCUGUAACUGACACUGAGGCUCGAAAGCCUGG
rnacentral:rRNA from 1 species